rnacentral:sRNA from 1 species
CACCACUCUGAAUGUAGUGCACACUUAAGAACUUAUAUGGAUCAGCGUUGAGGCUGAGACAUGUUCUUUUAUAACUUGUGACGUAGCGAGCGUUUGAGAUAUCUAUCUAAACGUGUCGUUGAGGCUAAGGCGGGGACUUUGAGUCCCUAAAUAAUUGAGUCGUAUGUUCGCGUUGGUGGCUUUGUACCCCACACAACACGGCAUGUGACCCUGAGGCAACUUGGGGUUAUAUGGUCAAGCGAAUAAGCGCACACGGUGAAUGCCUAGGCGGUCAGAGGCGAUGAAGGACGUGGUAGCCUGCGAAAAGUGUCGGGGAGCUGGCAACAAGCUUUGAUCCGGCAAUAUCCGAAUGGGGAAACCCACUGCUUCGGCAGUAUCCUGCAGUGAAUUCAUAGCUGCUGGAAGCGAACCCGGUGAACUGAAAUAUCUAAGUAACCGGAGGAAAAGAAAUCAACCGAGAUUCCCUAAGUAGUGACGAGCGAACGGGGAGCAGCCCUUAAGCUGGAAUGGCUUUAGAAAAACAAUCUGGAAAGAUUGGCCAUAGAAGGUGAUAGCCCUGUAUUUAAAAGGGCCACUCCAGUGAAGACGAGUAGGGCGGGGCACGUGAAACCCUGUCUGAAUAUGGGGGGACCAUCCUCCAAGGCUAAAUACUCCUGACCGACCGAUAGUGAACCAGUACC